AAAAAAAUGGAAACACUUCGGAAGUUUACUACAGACAUACAUGAAGGUAUGGUGAAUGGUAACAAGAAAACUGAAGAUGUUAUUAAAAGAAAUAAACGGAAAAACUAUGAAGGAAUGGAAGAAGAAUUACAUACUAUAAAUAACUGCUUCAUCAAACACAAAAAGAUGGCAAAAGAAAUGGAAAAUGAAGUAGAUAAAAGUGACAAAAUCUGGGAUGAGGAUCGAAAGCGCAUUGAUCGCUUAGAGAAAAUUGUGGAGAAACUCCAGCCCCAGGUAGACGAAUUAAUGAAGAAAAACGAUAAUCUUGAAAUAGCACGGAUCACUAACAACUUCGGGUAUGGCCUUGCCGCACACAUCUACCCACCACGUACGAAAGUCAUGUUCGGUCCAAUCUUUGCAAACCUGAUGUUAUGGCUGGACGAGAGUAAGGAUAGACCAGAAGGGCGUGAAGGAAACAGGAAGUGGCGUGAAUUGAAGAAAGAGUUUAUCUGGUCAGAUGAGCACGAAAAAGUGUUCUAUAAAAUGCUCAAGUUCAGUAAGACUGUUGAUCACCAGAAGGUCGAUUUUCAAUCUGCCUUCACCGAUAGAGAGAAGCGAUACGUUGAUGUUAUCCGUAGAAUGAGCGAACAAUUAAAUUAAUAUUAAUUAAAAAGACGUUUGAUGAUAACUUUGGAAUUUAAUCUAAAUAUUACUAAUUUAUUCUCGUCUUGUUUUGACUGAACUCUUGGGUUUCAAGAUGAUAACCUUCCGCUUAUGUAUACUUGUCGGCUGGUAUUGGCAAUCUUAAGGUAAUCUUUUCAUGUAUCCACUUUUCUUUCAAGUUAUAAGUGUUUUAUUUACUUAAUAAACAUCGUAAAUUGACAUGGUAAAUAUUCAUGUAAUGUUGUAAUAAGACUUUAAUAUUAAUAAUUCUGUAUAUACGUAGUAGCAAUGAUGCAAUAUACUGUAUGUAUCAAGCUAAUGAUAACAAUACGUUUUUUAAUAAUGAA